ACAAUGCUAUCACAUUUCCACUUAGUUUUUCUUCCCUCUGCUGGUAGAUGCUUCUUUUCUUCUUUUGGGGAAAAAAAUAUUACAGUUCCUUUCCCUAGAAACUAUGGAAAUUGGAUGGUUAAAGAAAAAAAUCAGGAUGAUGGCUAUAAUCAUGUUGUUGAAGCCUUAUCUUUGUGAGUGUGUUUGUAUUUCUGCAUUUGUAUGCACUUGAAAGAAGAAGAAAAAGAAAGAAAGAGAGAGAGAGAGAGAGAGAGAGAGAGAG